rnacentral:tRNA from 1 species
CGCGGGAUGGAGCAGCUAGGUAGCUAGUCGGGCUCAUAACCCGAAGGUCGUCGGUUCAAAUACUGCUCCCGCAA